rnacentral:rRNA from 1 species
UACGAAGGGUGCAAGCGUUACUCGGAAUUACUGGGCGUAAAGCGUGCGUAGGCGGUUUGUUAAGUCCGCUGUGAAAGCCCUGGGCUCAACCUGGGAAUUGCAGUGGAUACUGGCAAGCUAGAGUGCGGUAGAGGAUGGUGGAAUUCCCGGUGUAGCGGUGAAAUGCGUAGAGAUCGGGAGGAAUACCGAUGGCGAAGGCAGGUCUCUGGGCUAUAACUGACGCUCAUGCACGAAAGCGUGGGGAGCAAACAGG